UACGUAGGGGGCAAGCGUUGUCCGGAUUCAUUGGGCGUAAAGGGCGCGUAGGCGGCUUAACAAGUCACUUGUGAAAUCUCCGGGCUUAACUCGGAACGGCCAAGUGAAACUGUCAAGCUAGAGUGCAGAAGGGGCAAUCGGAAUUCUUGGUGUAGCGGUGAAAUGCGUAGAUAUCAAGAGGAACACCUGAGGUGAAGACGGGUUGCUGGGCUGACACUGACGCUGAGGCGCGAAAGCCAGGGGAGCAAACGGG
rnacentral:rRNA from 1 species